GCACCCAUAGCUCAAUUGGAUAGAGCACCUGACUUCGAAUCAGGAGGUUCUAGGUUCGAAUCCUAGUGGGUGCGCCA
rnacentral:tRNA from 1 species